rnacentral:rRNA from 1 species
UACGUAGGGUGCGAGCGUUGUCCGGAAUUACUGGGCGUAAAGAGCUCGUAGGUGGUUUGUCGCGUUGUUCGUGAAAACUCACAGCUUAACUGUGGGCGUGCGGGCGAUACGGGCAUACUGGAGUACUGCAGGGGAGACUGGAAUUCCUGGUGUAGCGGUGGAAUGCGCAGAUAUCAGGAGGAACACCGAUGGCGAAGGCAGAUCUCUGGGCCGUAACUGACGCUGAGGAGCGAAAGCAUGGGGAGCGAACAGG